rnacentral:rRNA from 1 species
UACGUAGGUGACAAGCGUUGUCCGGAUUUACUGGGCGUAAAGAGCGCGCAGGCGGUCGUUCAAGUCGAGUGUGAAAGCCCCCGGCUCAACUGGGGAGGGUCACUCGAUACUGAUCGACUCGAAGGCAGGAGAGGGUAGUGGAAUUCCCGGUGUAGUGGUGAAAUGCGUAGAUAUCCGGAGGAACACCGGUGGCGAAGGCGGCUUCCUGGACCGACACUGACGCUGAGGCGCGAAGCU